rnacentral:rRNA from 1 species
UACGUAGGGGGCUAGCGUUGUCCGGAUUUAUUGGGCGUAAAGAGCGUGUAGGCGGCCAGGUAGGUCUGCUGUGAAAACUCGAGGCUCAACCUCGAGAUGUCGGCGGAAACCAUCUGGCUAGAGUCCGGAAGAGGAGAGUGGAAUUCCUGGUGUAGCGGUGAAAUGCGCAGAUAUCAGGAAGAACACCCGUGGCGAAGGCGGGCUCUGCG